UGAAUACGAGACGCUAAGGCGUCGAAGUAGUGUAUGUCAUACUUCCAAGAAAAGCUUGCACUGUCAUAGAUAAAAAACGCCUGUACCAUAACCGACACAGGUGGGUAGGUAGAGUAUACUAAGGGGCGCGAGAUAACUCUCUCUAAGGAACUCGGCAAAAUAACUCCGUAACUUCGGGAGAAGGAGUGCCUUAUUAUUAAGGUUGCAAUAACAAGAUCCAAGCAACUGUUUAUCAAAAACACAGGUCUCCGCUAAGUCGUAAGACGAUGUAUGGGGGCUGACGCCUGCCCAGUGCCAGAAGGUUAAAGAAGCUGGUUAGCAUUUGCGAAGCUAGUAACUGAAGCCCUGGUGAACGGCGGCCGUAACAAUAACGGUCCUAAGGUAGCGAAAUUCCUUGUCGGGUAAGUUCCGACCCGCACGAAAGGCGUAAUGAUUUGGAUACUGUCUCGGAGAGGGGCUCGGUGAAAUAGACUUGUCUGUGAAGAUGCGGACUACUUGCACCAGGACAGAAAGACCCUAUGAAGCUUUACUGUAACUUGAAAUUGAAAUUGGACUUUAUUCGCGCAGUAUAGGUGGGAGGCGUUGAUUAUAAUCUUGCGGGAUUAUUGGAGCCAUUAGUGAGAUACCACUCUUGUAAUGUUAGAUUUCUAACUUUGAAUCAUUAUCUGGUCAAAGAACAGUUUCAGGCGGGCAGUUUGACUGGGGCGGUCGCCUCCUAAACGGUAACGGAGGCGUACAAAGGUUUCCUCUGAACGGUUAGAAAUCGUAUCUAGAGUGUAAAGGCAUAAGGAAGCUUGACUGUGAGACCUACAAGUCGAGCACGGACGAAAGUCGGUCUUAGUGAUCUGACGGUACUGAGUGGAAAGGCCGUCACUCAACGGAUAAAAGUUACUCUAGGAUAACAGGCUGAUCUCCCCCAAGAGUUCACAUCGACGGGGAGGUUUGGCACCUCGAUGUCGGCUCAUCGCAUCCUGGGGCGGUAGUACGUCCCAAGGGUUGGGCUGUUCGCCCAUGAAAGCGGUACGCGAGCUGGGUUCAGAACGUCGUGAGACGGUUCGGUCCAUAUCCGGUGUAGGCGUUAGAAUAUUGAGAGGAGCCUUCUUUAGUACGAGAGGACCGAGAAGGACAUACCUCUGGUGUACCAGUUAUCGUGCCAACGGUAGACGCUGGGUAGCUAUGUAUGGAGUGGAUAACCGCUGAAAGCAUCUAAGUGGGAAGCCCACCUCAAGAUAAGUA
rnacentral:rRNA from 1 species